UAGGGAGUAAAUGUAUAGGAGUUAUAGAAGUUAGUCUGAGGACCAGACUGUGAUAGUCAUGAGCCAAGGUAAACUUGGUGCUACCUCUUUGUUUCUUUAUUUCUUUGUUAUUGAAGAAUAAUGGAUAGUUUUUGAAUACUAAGAAGUAAGUCUGUGGAAUAAAUCAGAGAUUGAUUUAUGAAUUAUCCAUUAUCUAAUUGAAGUAUUGUGUGAUUGAAUUAUAUAAGAAGUUAUUGAAUGAUUGAUUAUGGAUGGAAGAUUAUGAUU
rnacentral:lncRNA from 1 species